rnacentral:lncRNA from 1 species
AUUCCAGGUAAGUAACCAAGGUCGAUUUCUGCCCAAAGCAACUAGCACGUGAGGCAACUAAAUAACCAAUUAACGCGAAUCUUACAGUUUAAGCAGGAAUCUUGUGUUUCGACCUACGAUGGGCUGGCACGCCCCUGUAUAUAAAGGCGAGAGGGCCAGCGACAGAGAUUACUACAGAUUUACCCGCGGGAAGGCAAAAACGACGCUGGACCCCAAGGACUCCCCAGCAAGAGUGCAAUAUCCGAUUUUCCGUAGGACAAUGGAUGCUUACACAGAAAUAGAAGCCAUGAAAGAGACGACAACUGUGCAUCUGAAUGACACCGAAAGGCCAAAAUCCAGCAGGGAGAAGUUUCUUCAGGCAUGGAAUGAGAAACCGGAGUUCCAGAAAUGUCCCAUUGUGUCUUCUCAAGUUCCAGAGGGUCAGACAGCUACUGGCAUCCCAAUCCAGACAAAGGGGAUCCAGGAUGAAAAGCACCAGUCACAUUUACUUACAAGGAACUCUCUGGAUGCCAGUGAAAAUGCUGUUUACUUCCUGGCCAUGCCAGCUUCUCCCCACGGUCAACUUGAUGCAAGCUCUGAGGCAACGGAGCCUGGCUCCCACCAGUUGCCUGCAGCUGCCUCCUGUAGUCCUCCAGAAAAAAGUGACAAAGAAGAAUUCCUCAAAAUCUGUGUUUCAGAUUUAUUGCUUGAGUCCCCAGCGAGGAAGAGGCCAAGGCUGCUGCCACCUAAUAAGAAGAUGCACGUGGAGGUGCAGAAAAAUCAAGACCCCCAUCUACCUGAGGAGAGUGCAAGAAGCGCUGCCCCCCUGGGAAAUACCAUGAAGAUGAGCCCUCCAGCCAACCCUCCUGAGGCAGAAUCCGUGCAUCACAGUCCCGAGCCAAAGCAACACAGUCCCAGUCACCCACCGGCAGAAGGCCCAUCGCCUUCUGGAGACACAGAAGCUUCCGCUUGCCCUCAACCUGCCGAGAUAAAUCAAAAGCAACCUCAGCACUUGAAUCAGGAGAGAAGCCCUCCCCUCCCUCGCCCUGUGAUAGCAACCCAAGAAUACAUGGGCUUUCCUCACAUUAGCUGCCUCCCACCAAAGAAGCGAUACACCAAGACCUGGUGCCUCUAGGAUACGUGCUGUAAAAUUGGCAAUUGAUGAAGAGUGGCCAGUACCAAUGCGUUUUUUUUAAAAAAUCCUGAUAAUAUUUGUAUUAUUAACCUCAGACCGACAGAGAAGCUUAAUAAAAUGCUAUUUCUGUAUUUUUAAAAUAAACCA